rnacentral:rRNA from 1 species
UACGGGGGGGGCAAGCGUUGUUCGGAAUUACUGGGCGUAAAGGGCUCGUAGGCGGCCAACUAAGUCAGACGUGAAAUCCCUCGGCUUAACCGGGGAACUGCGUCUGAUACUGGAUGGCUCGAGUUUGGGAGAGGGAUGCGGAAUUCCAGGUGUAGCGGUGAAAUGCGUAGAGAUGUGGAGGAACACCAAUGGCGAAGGCAGCCUUCUGGGCCAACACUGACGCUCAUGCACGAAAGCGUGGGGAGCAAACAGG